rnacentral:misc_RNA from 1 species
CAACCAUCAAGCCCCGUGCUUGUGUUGGGGACCUGCGUCCGACCGCAGGCCCUGAAAACCAGUGGCGGGCUCGCUGUCCACACCGAGCGUAGUAACUAACCUCGCUCCGGAGUGGCGCGGGCGCCUGCCGUAAAACCCCCAAUUUAUCAA